CAGCGAACCGGGCAAACGUUAUUCGGAAUUACUGGGCUUAAAGGGGUGCGAUAGGCUGCGCUAUAAGUCGGGGUGUAGCAAAUCCCUCAGCCUCAACUCGAAGGAACUGCGCCCGAAUACUGUAGUGCUUGAGGAGGAUAGAGGUGAGCGGAACUAGCAGUUGGAGCGGUGAAAUGCGUUGAUAUUGCUGGGAACACCCGUGGCGAAAGCGGCUCAGCUGGGUCCUUUCUGAACGCGUGAGGCACGAAAGCUAGGGGAGCGAACGGG
rnacentral:rRNA from 1 species